rnacentral:rRNA from 1 species
ACGAAGGGGGCUAGCGUUGCUCGGAAUCACUGGGCGUAAAGGGCGCGUAGGCGGCCUUGUAAGUUGGGGGUGAAAGCCCGUGGCUCAACCACGGAAUUGCCUUCGAUACUGCUUGGCUUGAGUGUGGUAGAGGUUGGUGGAACUGCGAGUGGCGAGCUGAAAUGCGUAGCUCUGCGCAAGAAGGCCGAUGGCGGAGGCAGCCAACUGGAUCAUACCUCCCUCUGAUUCGCGAUAGCGUGGCUUGCAAAAAG